rnacentral:rRNA from 1 species
ACCAGACUCCUACGGGAGGCAGCAGUGGGGAAUAUUGGGCAAUGGGCGCAAGCCUGACCCAGCAACGCCGCGUGAAGGAAGAAGGCUUUCGGGUUGUAAACUUCUUUUAAGAGGGAAGAGCAGAAGACGGUACCUCUUGAAUAAGCCACGGCUAACUACGUGCCAGCAGCCGCGGUAAUACGUAGGGGGCAAGCGUUAUCCGGAAUUACUGGGUGUAAAGGGUGAGUAGGUGGGCGCUUAAGUCAGGUGUGAAAACUCCGGGCUCAACCUGGAGACUGCACUUGAAACUGGGUGUCUUGAGGGCAGGAGAGGAAAGUGGAAUUCCUAGUGUAGCGGUGAAAUGCGUAGAUAUUAGGAGGAACACCAGUGGCGAAGGCGGCCUGCUGGACGACAACUGACGGUGAGGCGCGAAAGCGUGGGGAGCAAACAGGAUUAGAUACCCCGGUAC